rnacentral:rRNA from 1 species
GAUGAACGCUAGCUACAGGCUUAACACAUGCAAGUCGAGGGACCGGCGCACGGGUGAGUAACACGUAUCCAACCUGCACUUUACUCGGUGAUAGCCUUUCGCAAGAAAGAUUAACACCUGAUAUAAAGGAUGGGGAUGCGUUGCAUUAGGUUGUUGGUGAGGUAACGGCUCACCAAGCCUUCGAUGGAUAGGGGUUCUGAGAGGAAGGUCCCCUGCAUUGGAGCUGAGCCACGGUCCAAACUCCUACGGGAGGCAGCGGUAGGGAAUAUUGGUCAAUGGGCGCUAGCCUGAACCAGCCAAGUAGCGUGAAGGAGGAAGGCUUUUGGGUGGUAUACUUCUUUUAUAUAAGAAUAUGUAUUAUAUGAAUAAGGAUCGGCUAACUCCGUGCCAGCAGCCGCGGUAAUUC